CCUACGGGAGGCAGCAGUGGGGAAUUUUGGACAAUGGGGGCAACCCUGAUCCAGCAAUGCCGCGUGUGUGAAGAAGGCCUUCGGGUUGUAAAGCACUUUUGUCCGGAAAGAAAUCCCUUGCCCUAAUACGGCGGGGGGAUGACGGUACCGGAAGAAUAAGCACCGGCUAACUACGUGCCAGCAGCCGCGGUAAUACGUAGGGUGCGAGCGUUAAUCGGAAUUACUGGGCGUAAAGCGUGCGCGGGCGGUUUUGUAAGACAGGCGUGAAAUCCCCGAGCUCAACUUGGGAAUGGCGCUUGUGACUGCAAGGCUAGAGUAUGUCAGAGGGGGGUAGAAUUCCACGUGUAGCAGUGAAAUGCGUAGAGAUGUGGAGGAAUACCGAUGGCGAAGGCAGCCCCCUGGGACGUCACUGACGCUCAUGCACGAAAGCGUGGGGAGCAAACAGGAUUAGAUACCCUGGUAGUCCACGCCCUAAACGAUGUCAACUAGUUGUUGGGGAUUCAUUUCUUCAGUAACGUAGCUAACGCGUGAAGUUGACCGCCUGGGGAGUACGGUCGCGAAGGUUAAACCUUAAAUGAAUUGAGG
rnacentral:rRNA from 1 species